UACAGAGGUCCCGAGCGUUGUUCGGAUUCAUUGGAGCGUAAAGGGUGCGUAGGCGGCUGGGUAAGUUUGAUGUGAAAUCCUGGGGCUCAACCCUGGAACUGCAUUGAAUACUGCUCGGCUAGAGUACUGGAGAGGAAACUGGAAUUCACGGUGUAGCAGUGAAAUGCGUAGAUAUCGUGAGGAAGACCAGUGGCGAAGGCGAGUUUCUGGACAGUUACUGACGCUGAGGCACGAAGGCUAGGGGAGCAAACGGG
rnacentral:rRNA from 1 species